rnacentral:rRNA from 1 species
GCAAGUCGCACGAGAACGUUUCAGCUUGCUGGAAUUAGUAAAGUGGCGUACGGGUGAGUAACGCGUGGGUAAUCUACCUCCGAAUUGGGGAUAACAUUGCGAAAGCGAUGCUAAUACCGAAUGAUAUCUCAAUAACUCCGGUCUUUGAGAUCAAAGGUGGCCUCUCCAUGGAAGCUACUGUUUGGAGAUGAGCCCGCGUACCAUUAGCUUGUUGGUAGGGUAACGGCCUACCAAGGCGACGAUGGUUAGCUGGUCUGAGAGGAUGAUCAGCCACACUGGAACUGACACACGGUCCAGACUCCUACGGGAGGCAGCAGUGAGGAAUUUUGCGCAAUGGGGGAAACCCUGACGCAGCAACGCCGCGUGAGUGAUGAAGGCUUUCGGGUCGUAA